UCCUUCCUUUUGCGGUGCUGGGGAUGGAACCCAGGGCCUUGCACAUGCUAAGCAAGCACACAACCACUGAGAUUUAUCUUCACUUUUCCUUUUUUUUUUUUUCUUUUAAGGGGAAAAAAUGUAGAGAAAAACGAUCCUGGUUUUUGGUGGUGAGGCUCAUAUGACAAGGUCACAUUUUGCCUGGGCAUGUAAGGGGAGGUGUUUUUCUCAUCAGCAGUUUCUCAGGCUAGGGAGCACAGGCCAGGAGGAGGACAACUAAAUGAAAAUAUAUUCCCAGCCUGCACGUUAACAAGUUAGUGACGCACAAGAGUUUGAGAUGCCCUUUAAAAAACAAAGAUAGAGGGCUGGGGACUUAGCUCAGUGGUUCUGCCGCCUGCCUCACAAGCACAAGGACCUGAAUUUGAUCCCCAGUACCAAAACCAAACCAAACCAAACAAAAAAAACCAAGAUAAAGAAAGAAGGAGGGUGAUCAAAUCAGGGUUUCCUGUCCUACUGAAACUCCAACCUUGAGGGCCUUGGGUCUUAUUUCUUCCAUCCUGACACUGGCAGAGUACUGGAGUCUGACAUGGUCCCCACUUCACCCCUUUGAUUGUGAGGCAAGUGAAAUGGAAGCACUGAAAUUAAUCUCUCAACAACUUGAGAAUUUUUCCUGCUUGGAGGUGCUGUCUGUUGGGAUAUUAGCUGGUAAAAGCAGAAGAGACAAACAGGCAGUGAGGGUGUGGCUGGAGGAAAGAAGGAAAGGGAAGACAGGAAAGACGAGAGAUGGAGGAGAAGGUGCAGAGCUCCAGGAAACGGUGUUACAGCGUGCUCUGCCCCUCUGUCCCUGGGAAUCCAGGAAGAGACAACUGAGGCCUGAGUGGCCUUUGGGGAGGCCUGGGCUUGGCAGGCUCCAGGCAGGGUCCUUUGGGGAAAUGGCCCAGGAGAACAGAGAGAGGAGGAGCAUGAGAUCCUGAACAAUGCAUACCUGCUCUUGGAAAAAUAUGGACAGUUCUACCACCUGCUGUGCUUCCUAUGGUACUGUGUGUUAUUAACUCCUGGAAAUGCCCUCUAUGUGUGAAUUUUAUUUUUGUGUUUGUAUGUCAAGAUGGGCCUUGUGAUUUCUCUGUCUCCACAGUACGCUUCUUGUAAUUACUAUUGUUAUUUUUAUUUUUAUGACUGUCCCUGAGCUCUGGUGAAGAAAGUAGAGCCUACAAGGAAAGAGAUGAAGUUACUAUUUAUAUCACAUAAUUAUAUCAUUAUUAUAUCUUUGUAUUCCUGUAUGUACUAAA
rnacentral:lncRNA from 1 species